CCCGCAGGCGGUCGGUCGCGUUUGAGGUAACAGCUCCUGGCUUACCUGGGAGAGCGUCUCAAAAACGGGCUGACUUGAGGGCCAGAGAGGGACACGGAAUUCCGGGUGUAGUGGUGAAAUGCGUAGAUAUCCGGAGGAACACCGAAGGCGCAGGCAGUGUCCUGGCUGGCACCUGACGCUCAGGGGCGAAAGCUAGGGGAGCGAACGGGAUUAGAUACCCCGGUAGUCCUAGCCGUAAACGAUGACCACUAGGUGUGCGGGGGGUCGACCCCCUGCGUGCCGCAGCUAACGCACUAAGUGGUCCGCCUGGGGAGUACGGUCGCAAGAUUAAA
rnacentral:rRNA from 1 species